AUUGAACGCUGGCGGCAUGCCUUACACAUGCAAGUCGAACGGCAGCACGGGGGCAACCCUGGUGGCGAGUGGCGAACGGGUGAGUAAAGCAUCGGAACGUACCCGGAAGUGGGGGAUAACGUAGCGAAAGUUACGCUAAUACCGCAUAUUCUGUGAGCAGGAAAGCAGGGGAUCGCAAGACCUUGCGCUUUCGGAGCGGCCGAUGUCGGAUUAGCUAGUUGGUGGGGUAAAGGCCUACCAAGGCGACGAUCCGUAGCGGGUCUGAGAGGAUGAUCCCCCACCGUGGGACUGAGACACGGCCCAGACUCCUACGGGAGGCAGCAGUGGGGAAUUUUGGACAAUGGGCGCAAGCCUGAUCCAGCCAUGCCGCGUGAGUGAAGAAGGCCUUCGGGUUGUAAAGCUCUUUCGGCCGGGAAAAAAUCGCUCAGGUUAAUACCUUGAGUGGAUGAUGGUACCGGAAUAAGAAGCACCGGCUAACUACGUGCCAGCCGCCGCUGUAAUAC
rnacentral:rRNA from 1 species